AUGAACGCUAGCGACAGGCUUAGCACAUGCAAGUCGAGGGGCAGCACAGGUAGCAAUACCGGGUGGCGACCGGCGCACGGGUGAGUAACGCGUAUGCAACUUACCUAUCAGAGGGGGAUAACCCGGCGAAAGUCGGACUAAUACCGCAUGAAGCAGGGGCCCCGCAUGGGGAUAUUUGCUAAAGAUUCAUCGCUGAUAGAUAGGCAUGCGUUCCAUUAGGCAGUUGGCGGGGUAACGGCCCACCAAGCCGACGAUGGAUAGGGGUUCUGAGAGGAAGGUCCCCCACAUUGGUACUGAGACACGGACCAAACUCCUACGGGAGGCAGCAGUGAGGAAUAUUGGUCAAUGGCCGAGAGGCUGAACCAGCCAAGUCGCGUGAGGGAUGAAGGUUCUAUGGAUCGUAAACCUCUUUUAUAAGGGAAUAAAGUGCGGGACGUGUCCCGUUUUGUAUGUACCUUAUGAAUAAGGAUCGGCUAACUCCGUGCCAGCAGCCGCGGUAAUACGGAGGAUCCGAGCGUUAUCCGGAUUUAUUGGGUUUAAAGGGUGCGUAGGCGGCCUUUUAAGUCAGCGGUGAAAGUCUGUGGCUCAACCAUAGAAUUGCCGUUGAAACUGGGGGGCUUGAGUAUGUUUGAGGCAGGCGGAAUGCGUGGUGUAGCGGUGAAAUGCAUAGAUAUCACGCAGAACCCCGAUUGCGAAGGCAGCCUGCCAAGCCAUGACUGACGCUGAUGCACGAAAGCGUGGGGAUCAAACAGGAUUAGAUACCCUGGUAGUCCACGCAGUAAACGAUGAUCACUAGCUGUUUGCGAUACACUGUAAGCGGCACAGCGAAAGCGUUAAGUGAUCCACCUGGGGAGUACGCCGGCAACGGUGAAACUCAAAGGAAUUGACGGGGGCCCGCACAAGCGGAGGAACAUGUGGUUUAAUUCGAUGAUACGCGAGGAACCUUACCCGGGCUUAAAUUGCAACCGAAUAUGGCGGAAACGCCAUAGCUAGCAAUAGCGGUUGUGAAGGUGCUGCAUGGUUGUCGUCAGCUCGUGCCGUGAGGUGUCGGCUUAAGUGCCAUAACGAGCGCAACCCUUGCCACUAGUUACUAACAGGUAAAGCUGAGGACUCUGGUGGGACUGCCAGCGUAAGCUGCGAGGAAGGCGGGGAUGACGUCAAAUCAGCACGGCCCUUACAUCCGGGGCGACACACGUGUUACAAUGGCGUGGACAAAGGGAAGCCACCUGGCGACAGGGAGCGAAUCCCCAAACCACGUCUCAGUUCGGAUCGGAGUCUGCAACCCGACUCCGUGAAGCUGGAUUCGCUAGUAAUCGCGCAUCAGCCAUGGCGCGGUGAAUACGUUCCCGGGCCUUGUACACACCGCCCGUCAAGCCAUGGGAGCCGGGGGUACCUGAAGUCCGUAACCGCGAGGAUCGGCCUAGGGUAAAACUGGUGACUGGGGCU
rnacentral:rRNA from 1 species